GAGGGAGAGAGAGAGAGAGAGAGAGAGAGAGAGAGGUUAUUUGAGAUGACAGUGCUUCAAUGUCCCGAACAUUCUCACAUCUAAUUACAAAUGGAACACGAUCGAUAUCUGAAGCUUGUUGAUGAUCCGAUUCUCCGAUUCAUCUCCUGUUCGUUCCACUUCAGCACUUGCGGGGGUGUUGGGCUGAGAUCGGACCUGUCUAUCCUGACUCGAGCACCAUCUCUUUCAUAAACAAGCAAAAGAGAAAUAAGGGGAAACCUCGGACGAAUAACCGCUGGGGAGACGCAGGCAGUCAGGAUCGUCUGCUCUGCCGGGAACAGGAGGCGGAGACGGAGGGAGGAGAACCGUCGCCGUUUUUACUCCGUCCGCUUCCAGACGUGUUUGGUUGAUUGUUCUCGCUGUUCCUAACAACCGUUUAAUCUCGACACGCCACAGAAUUUCAUAUAAAAAUGCUAAUUUAUGGUUCCUGCUGCCACUCCGACACAGACGGACGGAUGAUCACCUGGAUUCGGGGAUCUGCUGCGCAGGACAGGAAACGAAGCCGAUUUGCCCUCGGAUUCUCAUCGACCGUUUCUCGGCAGUGUUCUUGCUGCCAGUCACAGUGGAGCUCAUGCUACUCGGUUCAUCACACAGAACAGUCACACAGUCAGUCAGCGACUGAGGAAUCCAGGAGAAAAUUGUGCCGCGCGCACCGCUUUCCCUUAACCCGCCGUUUCGUCUGGACUCGACCGUGUGAAGCGCGUCAGAGCGUGUGAAGACACCGCUCCAUCUCAAGACCGGCUGCUAACGAGCUGCAGAGUUCUACUGGAUCCUAGAGAAGCUGUGAACGUAAACCGGCUCCUCUGAUGAAGCAGGAGUACAGGAGCAUCCUCCUCCUCCUCCUCCUCCUCGUUUGCGCUCGGAGAAAAACCCACACGGUGAAUUUGCAGACGAGCCGAACUGAAAUCAGUCCGCGGUUUCAUUUCACGGCAGCAGAUAUGGCGGCGAUGUGAAGAUGGUGUGAAGAUCGGUAGGGCCGCUCGUCGGCUCUAGAGUCGAAACAACUUCAACCCUCCGGGAAAAAACAGGCCGCGGUGAGGUAACGCUCCGACCGUACUCCACGAGGAACGCCGCGGACAUCGAAUUGGGACGUCGGCGCUCGGAAUCACGGAGUCCAAAACGUUCAGGAUCACGCGUGCGGGUUCCCACUGAUGAUUUCUCCAAAGCAAACGUCUGAUAAACGUCACCGAUCACCCAUCAGCCUGCUGACGUAUCUGAUGAAGAGACGAGCGUGUAACCGGUUUAAAGAUAGCGGUGGACGUCAUCGAGGAAAUCACAGUAAUUAUCCUCGUCCGAAGGUCACAAGAAGGUCUGGGGGGGGGGGGGGGGGAAGAUGUGAAGCGAUCGGGGGGAAAUGAGCGCAGAAGCAGGACAGGUGCUUUCAGGUGAUUUAAUUACGUACAGUUACUGCACAAUUAGACUCUGUUAUGAAUCGGGGUCACCGUGACCAUGCUCAGUCAGAAUAAAUCCAUCUCUCAGCGCUCUCGCAUGGAGACGGAGAGGGAAAUCACAUUUACACCAACGUCGGCGCGUACGCUCCUCUCCGCGGUGUAACGGUCCGUCAUCGGGUCUCGGCAGACUUUCUGAGAAGGUUCAGCAUCAUGGAGACUCGUUACGGCCCCGCCUCGCCUCUCAUCGUACCGCCUUUCAUCUCAUCGGCGUGAUGACGGAUAAAAACCCACCGCCGGCGUGACCCGUAUCCGCGUUCUGUACUCUGACGAGGCGUCCAUCGGCCGCGCACGCUAAACACGCAGCGCGACAAAACACCGGACGGGUCGAGCGUUACUUUUCUUUUCCGGUGGAAGAACGCAUCAUAAACGUAUGAUCUCAGAAUAAUCUGAAGGAUGAAAGUCAUGGGAGACCGAUUAAUGAACGUCCUGUGACCUGGACGCAACAAAAAAAAAAAGGAAGUUAAAUUGGGGAUUUUCUGAGGCUUAAUGAUAAAACGCGCCAGAUAAAGAACGCAAUCUGCUCCGUCAACGAGACUUCGAGUCAAAUGCUAUAGACGCACCGAUACGAUAUUACGCUCCGAUACACACACACACACACACACACACACACACACACGUAUUAACGUCAUCCGUUCUAUCAUGUGACACAAGCGUAGUGACGUUGCGCUAUUAAAGCCAGACGACAGGAAACAACCGCGAUCUGGACAAGAAACCAAUCAAUCCUCUGGAUCAAAUCGCUCCUCUUUAAUAAUGACGCCAUGUCCACAUUAACCCGGAUCCAUCUCAGAACACCUUCUCCCGCUACGUCUUUUGAAAACGCGGCUUUCGCGGACCGGGAAAACAGACCCAUUCCAUUCAUAAUGAUGUAUCUGUGGUCAUGUGACUCGACUCAACUCAAACAAGAUGGCGGACGACGUGGUGCUGCAGUUGUCGUGCCUGAUAUCCAGUCUGAUAGCUUUGUUGAAGAUUAACGUCACUUUCGACAACCUUCAGCUCGCGUUUUUACCCCAAAACCACUUUAAUCGCUGUGCUACGGCACUCGAGUCUGUUCAGAUCGCGUCAGAGGCGAAUCUGCUGUGGAAAACACUCGCACCAGAAUCGAAUCAUGACUCUCACAGACUUUUGUUUUUACUUUUAGUACAACGCAGAAAUAAAUACUUAGAUCAUGAUUUUUAAAUUUUUUUUUUUUUUUUUAACGAGCCACAACCUCAGCCUGAGCCGUUUGUUUUUGUUAACAUGGACCUCGUCAGCCAUUUUAGACACUCCCCAAACACCCACACACUCCGCCCACACCUCAGUCUGAAAUCAGCCAACGCCCAGCGCAGCCUGAUAACCAACCAUUACAAAGAAAAACGGGACGGCGAAGGCUUGGCGGUCGUAAGUGAUGUCACGACAGUCCGGCUAACAAUAACGCUAGCUGAAGUGCCGUAAUUCUGUGGGCGGAGCCUUGUGUACACGCAUACUGCACCUUUAAACGUGUAAACAUCUCACCGACUGCACCUGCUACAGAAGACGUUUACAUAAUCUGAUAUAAAGAAACGAACGCAUCCCGCAUACGGUACCGUACCAAAAGUACCGAACUCGAGCUACAGGACAGUCUGCCGCAUCGAACCUGAUCCUUCAUCCAGACGGGCGCAGACGUGGAACCUUCUCCUCUUACACACGUCUCUACAGACCCUUCACACAGACUAGCUGAAUAAUACAAGGACCUCGGCACGUCUCUCUCCCGCACACUCGCACACUUCUAGACGAGACCUCCGACACGACGGCGGCACCAGAGAAGGCUCCGGAAAAUACCGCACCCUCUACAGACCGAGCGCCGACCAGCCAACCACGGGGCCGAGACGAUAACGCGGCAGCAGACUCGGCUCCCGUUCCACAAAUCCCUGAAUUUCUUCUCGCGCCGUAAACACCGUCGGUCGCUCGGCUCCUGCAAACACGCGCUCCACGUCCACGGUGCGAACAGCGGCAGGAAUUUCAGCAGCUGCGCUGCAACCCCGAAUCAACCGACAGGGACGCCGAGGCCGAGGCUUUUAAAGACGUGAAAAAGGAACGAACAAUUUUCCCCUCAAGGUUCCACAUACGGUUCGUCCGGGAUUCCCCGAGCGCAGAAAUCAACUCAAAAUCAAGGAAACUCAACAGAUUUGGCCCAAGACGUGUCACGUGACAUCCUAACGUGCAUUCAGCCAAAUCCCUCUCCCAUUCACGCGCGUCUAAAAGCUCUCGUUUACCAGCAAACAUCACUGCGAAAGAAUUUCUUGCGAUUUCACCGGAUCGCGUUAAAAAAAAACAAAAAAAACUGCAAGCUGCAUCGUGGAUUUUGAAAAUAAAUAAAUAAAUAAAUAAAUAAAUAAAUAAAUAAAUAAAUAGAGCGUUUUUUUGGCCACGACGAUUACAAAAACAAACCCCGGAGAGACCCUGUACGGACCGCUCCGCAUCACCGUAUCCGAGGUUACGCGCGUGCGUGGGGCGAGGUUUGGUCGAGAAACGAGUCCAGUCAGCUCACUCAGCUUCUCAAAUCACUCCGUCUGUACUGCACAAGAUUUAAAUUCUUU
ensembl:lncRNA